rnacentral:tRNA from 1 species
GGUGGCUCAGUGAUAGAGCGUUUGUCUCGCAAGCAUGAGGCCCUGGGUUCGAUUCCCAAUACUA